rnacentral:rRNA from 1 species
UACGUAGGUGGCAAGCGUUGUCCGGAAUUAUUGGGCGUAAAGCGCGCGCAGGCGGUCCUUUAAGUCUGAUGUGAAAGCCCACGGCUCAACCGUGGAGGGUCAUUGGAAACUGGGGGACUUGAGUACAGAAGAGAAGAGUGGAAUUCCACGUGUAGCGGUGAAAUGCGUAGAUAUCUGGAGGAACACCGGAGGCGAAGGCGAAUCACUGGACCGCUUCUGACGCUGAGGCGCGAAAGCUAGGGGAGCAAACAGG